UACGUAGGGUGCAAGCGUUAAUCGGAAUUACUGGGCGUAAAGCGUGCGCAGGCGGUGAUGUAAGACAGUUGUGAAAUCCCCGGGCUCAACCUGGGAACUGCAUCUGUGACUGCAUCGCUGGAGUGCGGCAGAGGGGGAUGGAAUUCCGCGUGUAGCAGUGAGAUGCGUAGAUAUGCGGAGGAACACCGAUGGCGAAGGCAAUCCCCUGGGCCUGCACUGACGGCUCAUGCACGAAAGCGUGGGGAGCAAACAGG
rnacentral:rRNA from 1 species